CACGGAGUUAGCCGAUGCUUUUUCUCCGGGUACUCUCCGGGCCGGGACGCGUCCCGGCCCUUGCUCCCCGGCAAAAGAGGUUUACGACCCGUAGGGCCUUAUUCCCUCACGCGACUUGGCUGGUUCAGGCUUCCGCCCAUUGACCAAUAUUCCUCACUGCUGCCUCCCGUAGGAGUCUGGACCGUGUCUCAGUUCCAGUGUGGGGGGCCUUCCUCUCAGAACCCCUACGCAUCGUCGCCACGGUGGGCCGUUACCCCGCCGUCAAGCUAAUGCGCCGCAUGCCCAGCCGCCACCGGAUUCCUCCUUUCGCCCGGUCCGGAUGCCCGGUCCGGGCGGCAUGGGGUAUUAGGCCGGGUUUCCCCGGGUUAUCCCCCUGUGGCGGCAGGUUCCAUACGUGUACUCACCCGUGCGCCGGUCGCCGGCAGGUGCAGGCAAGCCUGCACCCCGCUCGCCCCUCGACUUGCAUGUGUUAAGCCUGUCGCUAGCGUUCAUCCUGAGCCAGGAUACAAACUCU
rnacentral:rRNA from 1 species